rnacentral:rRNA from 1 species
AUUGAACGCUGGCGGCAGGCCUAACACAUGCAAGUCGAACGGUAACAGGAAGAGGCUUGCUUCUUUGCUGACGAGUGGCGGACGGGUGAGUAAUGUCUGGGAAACUGCCUGAUGGAGGGGGAUAACUACUGGAAACGGUAGCUAAUACCGCAUAACGUCGCAAGACCAAAAAGGGGGACCUUCGGGCCUCUUGCCAUCGGAUGUGCCCAGAUGGGAUUAGCUAGUAGGUGGGGUAACGGCUCACCUAGGCGACGAUCCCUAGCUGGUCUGAGAGGAUGACCCGCCACACUGGAACUGAGACACGGUCCCAACUCCUACGGGAGGCAGCAGUUGGGAAUAUUGCACAAUGGGCGCAAGCCUGAUGCAGCCAUGCCGCGUGUAUGAAGAAGGCCUUCGGGUUGUAAAGUACUUUCAGCGGGGAGGAAGGGAGUAAAGUUAAUACCUUUGCUCAUUGACGUUACCCGCAGAAGAAGCACCGGCUAACUCCGUG